UACGUAGGUGGCAAGCGUUAUCCGGAAUUAUUGGGCGUAAAGAGCGCGCAGGUGGUUGAUUAAGUCAGCGGUGAAAUUUUGCAGCUUAACUGUAACAGUGCCGUUGAUACUGUUUGGCUAGGAUUUGGUUGUAGUGUGCGGAAUGUGUGGUGUAGCGGUGAAAUGCUUAGAUAUCACACAGAACACCGAUUGCGAAGGCAGCACACUAAGUCAUUAUUGACGCUGAGGCACAAAAGUGUGGGGAUCAAACAGGA
rnacentral:rRNA from 1 species